rnacentral:rRNA from 1 species
GACGAACGCUGGCGGCGUGCUUAACACAUGCAAGUCGAACGGACAGGCCAUGCUUUUGUGGGGUGCUCGAGUGGCGCACGGGUGAGUAACACGUGAGUAACCUGCCCUUGACUUUGGGAUAACUUCAGGAAACUGGGGCUAAUACCGGAUAGGAGCUCCUGCUGCAUGGUGGGGGUUGGAAAGUUUCGGCGGUUGUGGAUGGACUCGCGGCUUAUCCGCUUGUUUGUGGGGUAGUGGCUGACCAAGGUUUUGACGGGUAGCCGGCCUGGGAGGCGGACCGGCCACAUGGGGACUGAGAGACGGCCCAGACGCCUACGGGAGGCAGCAGGGGGGAGUAUUGCACAGUGGGCGGAAGCCAGAUGCAGCAACGCCGCGUGCGGGAUGACGGCCUUCGGGUUGUAAACCGCUUUCGCCUGUGACGAAGCGGGAGUGACGGUAAUGGGUAAAGAAGCACCGGCUAACUACGUG